UAGCAUCUCUGCUAAACUUUACUAACUUCUCAGCUGGUCAGUCUUCUUGUCCAGCAUAACCACAAAUUCACAUGCACCUCACUAAAUUCUGAUUGCAGCCUCAAGUCCUAAUUUUGUUUUUAUUUCCCAAUAGUGUUGUAAAUUGCAAAUGAACUUGACGAUUUUUUUUAAUUGGGAUAAAGUGGACGGAACUCUGCUGUAAAUAAUAGGUUAGGACUAGGAGGAGGACUAGGACUAGAUGAGGUGCAGAAAAAUACAAGUUCUUGUCAAAAACAAAAAAGAAAGGAUUUUCGGGUAUUUUACUUAUAUCACAUGUACAAGAUUGGAAAUGAAAAUGGGAGUGUUCAUGGGGGCUUCUGCAAUCUGAUGGAUGCAUGUUUCUGGACAUUCAUUUCAGGCCCAUUUAUAUUUAUAUGCAAAUUCUGGAACCAAGUGAUGAAUAUAAUUUUUAUGUUAUUAUAUUAUUAGUAGUUAGUAGUUAUGUGUUGCAUGGCAUUAUCUAUGAUUAGAUCUGAAUGCACAUGAAAUUGCCAAUUAUGAAUGCUAGCUGUCAAGGGAUCUCAAGAUUUUAGUCCAAAAAUUAAUUUAGCGCUGUUGUUUCUUUACUUGGGUCUUUUGUUGGUGGUAAAUUAUUGAAAUGAAAACCUACAAGUAGAUUGGCUAGUCUAUUAAACACGUAGAAAAGACAGAUUGUUCUAAAAAAGGAGGGCCUAAAUAUGAUUGGUAGGGUCCUCUUCCCACGUUCCUCUCAAAACCAGAUGUUAUUGCUAACAGAUAAUCAUGUUAGUCCAUCGCUAAACCUGACUUCCUGGCUGGUUGAACCACCUGGUUUGCAGAGGCCUUGUAAGUUUGGCUUCUUUGUGGAUAGGUUUUGCCAACAACUGGGGUUCAUGAAUUUGACACCUGGGGAAGGAAAGGAUUGGCACACAGGGAGUAUCUAAAACUUCAGAUUCAGUGUUUUGCUCAUGUAUACUCAAAUGCAAUCAUAAUUUGUGUGGUUGAUCCUGAUUUCUGUAUUGCAGCUGUUUAGCUCAAAAUACCUGGUAUCAUUAGUUCAAUUUGGUAGUAAUUCAGGAAUACAAUAGUAAUCACUAUGGAAAUCUGGCUGGUAAAAAGUGGUUGUCGAAACUGCACACUAAGGCUUGGAUUACCAAUUUCGUGUCAAAGUGAAAACUUCAAUUCAUCUAGAAUUGGUUAUUGUACUUGCAGUUAUGAACUUACAAUCAUGCAGUAGAAUCUUUACAUCUGCACAAUCCGAAUCUCCUUUCUCUAUUUCUCUUCCAUAAAUAUGUCACUGUCUUCUAUUUCUUUUUCUCCUCAAUUAUUCCCUGAUUAAAAAGGUGUGGCUUUGAUGCCCCAAGAUAACACUUUUGUACUUAUGUCCAUCAGCAAUUCUAGCUUUUCUUUACCCAAUAAGUGAUUCUGGAUCUGGAAUGAAUAAACUAAAGCUUCCAAUUCUAAGCACUUGGGUGAUGGGAGUCAAGUAUGAUGCUUAACUCUAUAUAAGAACUGAAGAUGCGUGAUUUGCACCUGAAAGCAAUGCUAGAGUUGCAUGCUUUGUUGGUGUCUGAUUGCUGACUACGAAUAUCAGGAGUUAAAUAUGGUGAAUUUCUAAAGCUUCUUGCUUAUUCUACAACUCUGCCCCAUAUCUAGAUAAAGGAUAUUUAAAGGAGUAUGCUCUUUAUUACUUAUUGGUCUUUCUGGCACUGGAAUAGGACUUCCUGCACUUUCAAGAAUCUUUUUUUUAGUGCAUAUGAUAUGUAAAGGAAGCAUGCUUCAGCGAAUGGGAGAAUGGAUUGUGAUCCUUAAAGCCUCUCUGGAUAUAGAAGAGCACUAGUGGAAGUGCCAAGCCAAUUUGGUAUGUCAUAUGCAGCACAUAAUAGGUAUCAAGCUCGAGAGCCACAGAGUUGUUGUCCAGCUGGUGGUGCCAUUUGUUCUUUGGCUGGACCUGCUCCUGAUUGCUUUUUGUUUAGGAAUUGACGUCCACAAGGAAAUACUGGUGUGGGAGGAUAGGAUUUAGAUGCUUGACAUCAUUUUUAAAUGCAAGAUGCACUUUCAUACACCAGAUCAUCGUUUUCAUGAUGCCUUGUCUUGGUAUUAAUGUUUAAGUCAUGUUUACUCUUGUAAAGAACUGGUUCAUACAAGGUUUUGUCAUCCACUCAUCCUUUACCGCUUCCUUUCUUUUUGUAGAGAAGCUAAGUUUUUCCUUGUCCAUGUCCGUCCCCCAAAAUAAAAUGAAAAAAAUGAGAAAUGCAAAGAGAAUGGAUUAUGUGGAAAUGGAAUAGUUCUUUAUUUAAGUGGAGAUCUAUCUCACAACCUUGACUUUUCUUCUUGCUCUCUCUCUCUCUCUCUCUCUCUCUCUCUCUGUGAAAGAGGAGAUUGAUUUGGUCCUACUUCCUAAAAAUCUAGCCGCUGAUGAGAUUGAUUUAAAUCUUGCUCUCGAGUAACCAAUAUAUUUGACCAUGGAGCCUUUAACCUUUGGAUACAUGGUUGAAAUAAGUUUUAGAGUUUAUAAUACUCCUAAAAUAUGAAUAUUAAGUCCUAAUUCACUGGUAACCAAUUUUGCAACUUCUUACCUACCAUUUGGUUUUCUGAACAUCCUUUUUUAGUUUUUUUUUUCCCUUUUUUUGGGGGGCUUUUAAUUGAUAUAUAUCAAUCCUUUCCACAGUGUUGACACUGCAUUAAACGCAGAGUUUGCUUUACAAGUUGGAGAAGGAUGCUAUUGUUCAGCAAAUGGUAGAACAGAAAUAGAUACAUAAAGCGCACAAGUAUCAGGAAAGACCUCAAGUCCAGAAGCUGAGCCUCUCUUAGGAUAGUUACAGUGCAUACAAGGUGUCCAGAUUUAAAGCCUAUCUUCUAGCUGCAUGACAUCCAUUUAUUCCUUGCUGGGGAUAGGAUUGAUGACAUGGCACUGAGAAACUUUGCAUUGGUGGUUGCUACAUAAAGAAAAAAGUACCUAUGUUCAGGAAGACCACUAGAGUGAAUAUUUCCAAGAAUCAGGAUGACUCAGAGCGAAAAGACUAAAUCUUUCGCAAUCGACAUUAAGGCAUAUUCUGUUUAUUAAGCUUAGAGAGACGAAGUCUCCUUCACCUCUGUAACAGAUAUAUAUUCUUUGUUGGGGGAGGACUCACCUUUUCACUUUUUCUUUGAGUCUAUGCCCAGAAGAAUCAAGUUGCAAUAUGCUUUCUGUAAUCAUCAAAUCCAAUGAAUGGCAGACCAAGGGUGAGGCUAAUAUUUAUUUAGAUACGUCCACAUUGCUGUCAAGGUAAUAAUGAACUGCAUCUUCGAAGCAAAUGCAUGAGAUUGAUGAAUGAGACAUAGGAAACAUCCAUUUCCUUAAGAUACUUUUUUUUUUUUUUUUUUGUAAAAAAGUUUUCUAGGACAUGUUUUAUUCCUUUGUUUGCUUAAGCCUCAAUGAUAGGGAUAGAGACUGUAGUAAGUGAGAAUAUUUCAGAUAAUGUCCAGCAGGUGUUGAUUGUCAAAGUGUUUUUUCUGCUGAUGAUAUGAAUGAAAUGAUAAAUUCUGGUGGCAUUUGGAAAAUUUGAAGAAAUAGUUCAAUAGCUUUCUUGAAGGUUCAACAAGAUAUGCUAAAAUUUUUUGUUUAAGCAAUGAUUACAUCAUUGAAAUUGCAAUGCACUAGUUAAAGAUGUACGGCUCGUGCUCCUACAAUUACUUUUUUUUUUAGUUUUCGCCUCCUUCUCUUCUCAAUCAGUUGAAAUUACAAAUAUGACUUUGUCUAAAACACGGUGUUAGUUUUUGGGAAUCAAAUCCUAAUCCCUAAUUGUAAUAUAUGUGAGAAUUGAUAAUUGUUUUCCUUCUGUAUAUGAUGUCCUUUGUCUGCUACACAAGUGCAGACAACUACUGCAGUGGAAGAGAAUAAUUGCCAACUACUUGUUGAUUGAAGGCAGUGGGACCACCAAACUAUGAAUGAAUAAGUUUUUCAUUCAAUUAUAUCAAGCUUCAUGGCAGGAAAGAAACUGAAGAAAGCAUAAAGUUGAGCCUGGACUCGAACACUGUUAUAACUGAAGUCAUGCAGAGCAUUAAUUCACCUACAGUUUAAAGCGUCUUUUGCAAUUCCAAUUUUUGUGGCUGGACUUGAUUCUAUGUCCUGGUAUACUUUACUAGAGUCUAUACUUCUUGUCUUACACAUUAAAGCUUUUUGGUCUGACCCUUUUUGGCUUUAGCUUCAUCUUAACACCCUUUUGUCAUCUCCCUUUUCCUUUAACUUCAGCUCUAAUAAUUUUUUAACUUAAACUUUUUGCAGUUCUUUAAAUGCUCGUAUAUAAAUUCUGACUUUGUUUUAGGUUUAUCUAUGGAUUAAGGAAUUAUCGCUGUUGUAAGUAUGCAUGUGAUUUACAACAAUGUACGUGAUAGAGUUAAAAAAGUAUGUGCACAAUUACUGCCAAUACAAAUGUGAUGACCACCCAAAUUCAGUAGUUUAGCGUCUCUAAUAUUUCUGGAAAUAUCUGUCGGACCCUUUGGUGAAAUUGCAAAUGAAGCAUGGGGACAACUAUUCAAUAGAAAAUGAAAAAAACCUGCUUAUGAUCAUAGAAACACUAAGCACUCAAAAUGUUGACAGAACUAGGGGUUUGGCUUCAAUAGAUGAUUCAAUCAGAUACAAUAGUUCUUACUAGGCCUGAUUGUACACCUAAAUAUCUCUUUGUAGACAUGUUGGAUAAGCAUCAUAUUGUAGAAGGUGUAAAAUUUUAUAGAUUCCAACAUAUUUGAAGUAUGCAUUUGAAUUCACAAUUUGUGUUCGAGUGUCUUCACCUGUUCUUUAUGUGCUUACCUGAUAGAGAAAAAGGCAUUGAUGUCCAGCGAAUGGCAAUGCAGAAAGAGAUAAUUUGUGAUGGAUCUGCAAUGGUCUUAAAGCAAAAAGGUAGAGGCAUGUCUGAUGGUAUAUGUGGUACAUGCCAGGUACCAAGGUCUGGAAUCACAAAGUUUUCUACAACCGUAAUUGCUUCAGUUGUCUUUUUCCAGAACUUCCUUUUGUUUCUUUUCUUUAUAUCUUAACAAUCACAAAAGCAUAAAGUUCCCAUGUUAUUCAACAUCUUGAUUUUUGGAAACUAACUCUGCCUGACCAGUGGAUAAUACCCUAGACUAGUCUAUUGUCCUCUGAUGAUGUAUUUAUUUGUUUCAGUUUUUAUGUUCCUCAUCUGUUGAAGACAAGUUGAAUUUGGAUCUACUUCACUAAUUCCCAGACUCUUUGCCAAGCUUUUCAAUUAUCAUGAAUUUCUUGCUGUUGUUGUUUGGUAUCCCUUGCUUUACCAUUUAUGAAUGAAGUGUUACUGGUGGUUUUCACCAGGUGGAGAGGUGCUUGCUGUUUCGCAUUAGUGGAGCAACAAAAAAUGGUUCAUAAUUUCGAGAAAUGAUAGGAUUUAAUUAAGAUUUCUUUCUACAAAUAAAGUGUAGUAUAAGUGACAAGCCAAAUAUUUCAAUAUAUGGGUUUGUCACUCAAAACUUAGAUCCUCACUGUUAGAUUACCACAUUAUCUUAUUUCUUUGAUCAGUUUUUUUUGGGUGCUGAAAAUUCUCUUAUCCAGUGAAUGUUGUAAUAGGAUCUAAUUUUUAACGUUACUUCAAACCAUUCAUAGCUUCAAGUAGAGUAGUGAGGAACGAUUACUGAUUAAAUAGGUACAGUUAUCAAGCAGGAUCUUAAAGAUAAAUUGCUGAGCCAUUUUCUAGCUGACAAUCUUGGAAAGUAACAAGGAUAUAAAUUUUGCUACCAAAACAAGCCCACACCUCUCUGAUAGCUUUAUUGAGGUAGAAUGUGAGGUAGAAAGUGCCUGUUUGCUUUGUUUUACAAUUAAAUGCCACAAAAGUGUAAAGUGCAAUAUUCUUUUUAAAAGCAUCAUCGGCAUUUUAAGGUGAACCUCAAUUUCAAGGCUACUGACUUAGUUGCCUAUUUGUCUAUAUCAAUGUCUGUGAUUUAUAUUGCAAUCAAUUAAGCAUCCAUGCUCUCUGAUGAAUGAGACAUAGGUAGUGCAAAACUUUGAGAUGAUAUUUGCAUUUUUUUUAACCGCUGCAAUACUGGGAACUGGGACAUGGCAAGCAGUGGGUAAUCAACUUUGGAUGCCUCCCCUGCUAGUGUCCAGGAAACAAAAAAAUGGGCGGGGAGAAGGGGGCUUGUUUGGAUGUUAAUUCCACCCAUAUUAUGAGUAAGAGUUCAAUUACUGUUGCCUGAUUAAGCAUAGAAUGCAAGUAGGGGUUUUGGGUUCUAAUUUUCAAGCCAGGAAAUAUCUCCACCUACUUUUCCCUUUCAUUUUUAAGACGUGGACCUAAUAUUCUGCUUAUCUUUUGCCUUGGGCCAGUGAGUACUAAUAUAGAAUCUGGGACCAACUUGCAGGAAUUGAUGAUAAAGGUGUUAUUUUGGAAGGAAUGAGGUCUAUAGGAAGCUGAUUGUGCUUGCUUUCAUUACAACAUUGCAGCAGACUAAAAAGUUUUUAAGCUUUCUGAGAGCCCAAGGUUUUUAGCUGUAAAGAAUGAUGGCACGAUGCCAUAACCACUUUCCACCAUUAGUGCGGUCGAGAGCAUCUGAUCGACUUCAACUUCAACAUCCGUUCUUUUUGCAAAUCGACCUUUAAUCCUGGGUCUGGUUUCUGCAUACGCCUUCCUUGAAGCGUACCUGAUCGUCUUCUCAAAUUUUCGGGUCUUCUUCUUCUCUCUGUACCUCAGAACUUUGGCCUCCCUGUCCAUUGGCGUAAGUUGCUGUGGC